CCUGAUAGCCGAGGCCCCCUAAAACCUAAUUGACAAAUCCGAGCCUUCAACCCAUCCUUGGAGUGGAAUCGUCGAGGUCGCGAUAGAGCAUCGGUCGUGGUAAUCGAAUUCCGGCAAUCUGGUUUCGUAGUGAGUAUUAGAGUUUAGACAGAAGAUUGGAGGUGUGACGGGGAGGAAGAUUCCGAUGGCGGACGGGGAAAACUAAAUUGGGCACGGCGUGCGACAAACGAACCAAGUCUGAUCGGAUUAAGUCCAGUAAGCCGAUCAUCUUCAUUGCGAGAGCAGAGAGCUGGGUCAUCUUCAUGCCGCAAAGUGCUGCCGUCAGCUGCGCCUCACCUUGCCCGAUCGGAUCUCCACCUCCCGACAAGAGCAAGGGAUAGGGGCUAUGCCGACUGCGGAUAAGUAUUACAGAC
rnacentral:lncRNA from 1 species